rnacentral:rRNA from 1 species
AGUGAACGCUGGCGGCAGGCCUAACACAUGCAAGUCGAACGGCAGCACAGUAAGAGUUUGCUCUUACGGGUGGCGAGUGGCGGGCGGGUGAGGAAUACAUCGGAAUCUACUUUUUCGGGGGGGAUAACGUAGGGAAGCUUACGCUAAUACCGCAUACGACCUACGGCAGAAAGCAGGGGAUCUUCGCACCUUGCGCGAUUGAAUGAGCCGAUGUCGGAUUAGCUAGUUGGCGGGGUAAGGGCCCACCAAGGCGACGAUCCGUAGCUGGUCUGAGAGGAUGAGCAGCCACACUGGAACUGAGACACGGUCCAGACUCCUACGGGAGGCAGCAGUGGGGAAUAUUGGGCAAUGGGCGCAAGCCUGAUCCAGCCAUGCCGCGUGGGUGAAGAAGGCCUUCGGGUUGUAAAGCCCUUUUGUUGGGAAAGAAAAGCAGCAGGUUAAUACCCCGCUGUUCUGACGGUACCCAAAGAAUAAGCACCGGCUAACUUCGUG